GGAUUAGAUACCCUGGUAGUCCACGCCGUAAACGAUGGUCACUAGGAGGGGUCCCUGCUCCAGGGUUCCGUUCGUAGCUAACGCGUUAAGUGACCCGCCUGGGGAGUACGCUCGCAAGGGUAAAACUCAAAGGAAUUGACGGGGGCUCACACAAGCGGUGGAGCAUGUGGUUUAAUUCGAAGCAACGCGAAGAACCUUACCCGGGUUUGACAUGUGCGCAAGCGCUAGGUAGUAGGUGCCCGAAAGGUUUCCCGACAGGUAUCCAGUCCUGAGCCUAGUACAGGUGUUGCAUGGCUGUCGUCAGCUCGUGCUG
rnacentral:rRNA from 1 species